GGAGAGGUGCCCGAGAGGCCGAAGGGGUACGACUGGAAAUCGUAUAUACGGAAACGUAUCGAGGGUUCGAAUCCCUCCCUCUCCGCCA
rnacentral:tRNA from 4 species